AUGACGGUUGGUUCAAGUAUGAUAUUGGGAUCACAAAUAGCUUUUGUUUCUCUCCAACAUACACAGCAACAUUAUCCUUUUGGCAGCACUAUACCUUUUGAAACUCAUCGUUUUGCAGAAAAUGAUGCGCUUCUGAUGAUACCAGGGAAAAGAAAACCCAUUGUUAUAUGUGCUAAAACUUGA